CAUGUAGGCGGCUCUUUAAGUCUGAUGUGAAAGCCUGUGGCUCAACCACAGAAUUGCAUUGGAUACUGGAGAGCUAGAAUCUUGGAGAGGUAAGUGGAAUUUCAUGUGUAGCGGUGGAAUGCGUAGAUAUAUGAAGGAACACCAAUGGCGAAGGCAGCUUACUGGACAAGUAUUGACGCUGAGAUGCGAAAGUGUGGGUAGCAAACA
rnacentral:rRNA from 1 species